GACAAACGCUGGCGGCGUGCCUAAUACAUGCAAGUCGAGCGGACGGAUGGGAGCUUGCUCCCAGACCGUCAGCGGCGGACGGGUGAGUAACACGUGGGCAACCUGCCUGUAAGACUGGGAUAACUCCGGGAAACCGGGGCUAAUACCGGAUAACUCUUUCCCUCACAUGAGGGAAAGCUGAAAGAUGGCAUCUCGCUAUCACUUACAGAUGGGCCCGCGGCGCAUUAGCUAGUUGGUGAGGUAACGGCUCACCAAGGCGACGAUGCGUAGCCGACCUGAGAGGGUGAUCGGCCACACUGGGACUGAGACACGGCCCAGACUCCUACGGGAGGCAGCAGUAGGAAAUCUUCCGCAAUGGACGAAAGUCUGACGGAGCAACGCCGCGUGAGUGAUGAAGGUUUUCGGAUCGUAAAACUCUGUUGUCAGGGAAGAACAAGUACCGGAGUAACUGCCGGUACCUUGACGGUACCUGACCAGAAAGCCACGGCUAACUACGUG
rnacentral:rRNA from 1 species